UGGGGAAUUUUGGACAAUGGGCGAAAGCCUGAUCCAGCCAUGCCGCGUGAGUGAAGAAGGCCUUCGGGUUGUAAAGCUCUUUUAGUCGGAAAGAAAAGAUCAUAAUGAACAAUUAUGAUUCAUGACGGUACCGACAGAAAAAGCACCGGCUAACUACGUGCCAGCAGCCGCGGUAAUACGUAGGGUGCGAGCGUUAAUCGGAAUUACUGGGCGUAAAGGGUGCGCAGGCGGUUUUGUAAGUCAGAUGUGAAAGCCCCGGGCUUAACCUGGGAAUUGCGUUUGAAACUACAAGGCUAGAGUGCAGCAGAGGGGAGUGGAAUUCCAUGUGUAGCAGUGAAAUGCGUAGAGAUGUGGAAGAACACCGAUGGCGAAGGCAGCUCCCUGGGUUGACACUGACGCUCAUGCACGAAAGCGUGGGGAGCAAACA
rnacentral:rRNA from 1 species